GGCAGCAGGGCUGGCAGCUUCGGGCCCACUUAUGCCUCCAGAGAAGCUGCAUGCCUGUAAUCCCAGCCCUUGGGAGGUGAAGGCAAGGGGAUCAGAAGUUCAAGGCCACCCUCAGCUGUAAAUUGAGUUUGAGGCUAGCCCACCAAGGGCAAGAAGCAACCUCCCUGUCACAGGAUGAGGAGAGGCUGAGGACAUACACGCUGUGACGGAGAAUCUUUGGAUGAAAGGCUAUUGAAACAAUGGACAUCCCCCAAAUGGGAAUUUCCCCGGGAAUCGGAAGAAAAAGGUGCCAGCUAGAGGGGAACUUGUCUCCUCGAAAGAGAUUUCCCACAGCCCUAACAGCUUGCCAGACGUCUCACAGGAUGAGACUGAAGCCCAGACAGUGACGGGUCAGUGGUGGACAGGAGCACACCUUGAGCAGGACGUCCUUGGCCUCCAUUUAAACUUCGUUGUUGCUUCAGGACCCUGAAGACAGACUUAGGUCUCUGGAUCUCUCUGUCCCUCUUCCCAAUGUGGACAAGCUGAAUAAAUCUCCUUCUAUGCUU